rnacentral:rRNA from 1 species
UACGAAGGGGGGCUAGCGUUGCUCGGAAUCACUGGGCGUAAAGGGUGCGUAGGCGGGUCUUUAAGUCAGGGGUGAAAUCCUGGAGCUCAACUCCAGAACUGCCUUUGAUACUGAAGAUCUUGAGUCCGGGAGAGGUGAGUGGAACUGCGAGUGUAGAGGUGAAAUUCGUAGAUAUUCGCAAGAACACCAGUGGCGAAGGCGGCUCACUGGCCCGAUACUGACGCUGAGGCACAAAAGCGUGGGGAGCAAACAGG